AAUUAUAUAUAGAAAGAGUUUAGUUACUAACUUACUAUACUGUUAUUAGUAUAGACCCCUUUAUGCUCAUAAGGUUUCGAUCGUUAGAUCUAUACUUUUGAUCAUUUCCAUCCAUAAAUCAUACUAUUCAACUAACCACCCAUUCAAUCCUAGGGAACCACUAUCAUCCUAAUUGCACAUCCAACGGUCGAAAAUUUAUGAGUAUAAAGGGAUCUAUACUCAUAAGAGUAUAGUAGCCCUGGCCUAUAUAUAUAGAAUUAGGCUACUAUACUAUUAAUAGUAUCAACUGUUUGCUAUUAGGUUUCGGCUUUUGAAUGAAGGGAUGUGCAGUCAAGAGGAUAGUAGCCCCCUAGGGUUGAGGAGGUGGCAAGUUGAAUAACAUAAUCUAACGGAUGAAAAUAGCCAAAAGGAUAGAUCUAACGGCAAAAAACUCGAUAGCACCAAACACUUGGUACUAUCGAUAGUAUAGUAGUCGGACUCUCUAUAUAUAGGUAGAUCUAACGGCAGAAAACUAUAUAGCACAAAAUGAUUGGUACUAUAGAUAGUAUAAUAGCCGGACUAUAUAGAGAGAGAGAGAUAGAGUCCGGCUAGCAUAUUAUCGAUAGUACCAAAUGCUUAGUGCU
rnacentral:lncRNA from 1 species